AAGUCGUAACAAGGUUUCCGUAGGUGAACCUGCGGAAGGAUCAUUAACACGUUUCCACGUCUAGCUUCUUGUGUCUCUAUAUCAAACUAAACGCGAACUUGUAUCCUCCCUAGUAUUUUUCUGGUUUAGAUUAAUCAUCUGUAGGUGGGUGUGUUCAAUUAACGUUGAGCAUGCCAUUUGAUUAAUUCGGUUGCUUCUGGCAACAAGACUGGUUGAGUGCUAGGCAUUUAGAAUAUCUCUGAUAGACUUUCCUUACCUAAAGGCUAUCGGGGGUGAACUGCUAUACAAAAUAUCCACCCUCUUUAAUACAUUUGACUAAUACUAUUCACCUAGCGAAAGCUGGGCUUGAAUUGAGUUAUUUCAUAACUAAGCACAACUCUUAGCAAUGGAUAUCUCGGUUCUC
rnacentral:misc_RNA from 1 species